UGAACGCUGGCGGUAUGCUUAACACAUGCAAGUCGAACGGAAACGAUACUAGCUUGCUAGUAGGCGUCGAGUGGCGGACGGGUGAGUAACGCGUAGGAAUCUGCCUGAUAGUGGGGGAUAGCCCGAAGAAAUUCGGAUUAAUACCGCAUAAUCUAUUCGUAGUAAAGUGGGGGACUUUCGAGCCUCACGCUAUCAGAUGAGCCUGCGUAAGAUUAGCUUGUUGGUAGGGUAAAAGCCUACCAAGGCGACGAUCUUUAGCUGGUCUGAGAGGAUGAUCAGCCACAUCGGGACUGAGACACGGCCCGAACUCCUACGGGAGGCAGCAGUGGGGAAUAUUGGACAAUGGGGGCAACCCUGAUCCAGCAAUACCGCGUGUGUGAAGAAGGCCUGAGGGUUGUAAAGCACUUUCAAUUGUGAAGAAAAGUUAGCGGUUAAUAACCGUUAGCCUUGACGUUAACUUUAGAAGAAGCACCGGCUAACUCCGUGCCAGCAGCCGCGGUAAUACGGAGGGUGCAAGCGUUAAUCGGAAUUACUGGGCGUAAAGCGUGCGUAGGCGGUUUAUUAAGUCAGAUGUGAAAGCCCCGGGCUUAACCUGGGAACUGCAUUUGAAACUGGUCAACUAGAGUAUGGUAGAGGAAAGUGGAAUUUCUGGUGUAGCGGUGAAAUGCGUAGAUAUCAGAAGGAACAUCAAUGGCGAAGGGCAGCUUUCUGGACCAAUACUGACGCUGAGGUACGAAAGCGUGGGUAGCAAACAGGAUUAGAUACCCUGGUAGUCCACGCCGUAAACGAUGAUAACUAGCCGUUGGGGGGAUUUACCCUUUAGUGGCGAAGCUAACGCGUUAAGUUAUCCGCCUGGGGAGUACGGCCGCAAGGUUAAAACUCAAAGGAAUUGACGGGGACCCGCACAAGCGGUGGAGCAUGUGGUUUAAUUCGAUGCAACGCGAAGAACCUUACCUGGUCUUGACAUCCUGCGAACUUUCUAGAAAUAGAUUGGUGCCUUCGGGAACGCAGUGACAGGUGCUGCAUGGCUGUCGUCAGCUCGUGUCGUGAGAUGUUGGGUUAAGUCCCGUAACGAGCGCAACCCCUAUCCUUAUUUGCCAGCACAUCAUGGUGGGAACUAUAAGGAGACUGCCGGUGAUAAACCGGAGGAAGGCGGGGACGACGUCAAGUCAUCAUGGCCCUUACGACCAGGGCUACACACGUGCUACAAUGGGAAGGACAAAGAGCCGCGAAGCCGCGAGGUGUAGCUAAUCUCAUAAACCUUUUCGUAGUCCGGAUUGGAGUCUGCAACUCGACUCCAUGAAGUCGGAAUCGCUAGUAAUCGUAGAUCAGAAUGCUACGGUGAAUACGUUCCCGGGUCUUGUACACACCGC
rnacentral:rRNA from 1 species